rnacentral:misc_RNA from 1 species
CCAAACUUGGUCAUUUAGAGGAAGUAAAAGUCGUAACAAGGUUUCCGUAGGUGAACCUGCGGAAGGAUCAUUAGAAAAUAACCAGCCUGGCUGGUGAAUAAUUCUAUCUCACCUUGUGUGCAAAUAAUGGAAAAAAAGGAGAGAAUAUUGGAUACUUUUUGUAUCUAAUCUCUCUAAAGUUUUUAUAAACUCCAUCAAAUUUUGAAAUGAAACCUAUUUUUUUAAUAAAAAUAUUAUACAACUUUCAACAACGGAUCUCUUGGCUCUCGCAUCGAUGAAGAACGCAGC